rnacentral:rRNA from 1 species
GACGAACGCUGGCGGCGUGCUUAACACAUGCAAGUCGAGCGGUAAGGCCCUUUCGGGGGUACACGAGCGGCGAACGGGUGAGUAACACGUGGGUGACCUGCCUCUAGCUCUGGGAUAAGCCUGGGAAGCUGGGUCUAAUACCGGAUAUGACCUCGCGGUGCAUGUUGCGGGGUGGAAAGCCUUGCGCGGCUAGGGAUGGGCCCGCGGCCUAUCAGCUUGUUGGUGGGGUGAUGGCCUACCAAGGCGACGACGGGUAGCCGGCCUGAGAGGGCGACCGGCCACACUGGGACUGAGACACGGCCCAGACUCCUACGGGAGGCAGCAGUGGGGAAUCUUGCGCAAUGGGCGAAAGCCUGACGCAGCGACGCCGCCGUGAGGGA